CUCGGAGUUUGAUCCUGGCUCAGAUUGAACGCUGGCGGAAUGCUUUACACAUGCAAGUCGAACGGUAGAGGGGGCAACCCCUUGAGAGUGGCGAACGGGUGAGUAAUAUAUCGGAACGUGCCCAGUCGUGGGGGAUAACGUAGUGAAAAUUACGCUAAUACCGCAUACGAUCUACGGAUGAAAGCGGGGGACUCGUAAGGGCCUCGCGCGAUUGGAGCGGCCGAUAUCAGAUUAGGUAGUUGGUAGGGUAAAGGCCUACCAAGCCAACGAUCUGUAGCUGGUCUGAGAGGACGACCAGCCACACUGGAACUGAGACACGGUCCAGACUCCUACGGGAGCAGCAGUGGGGAAUUUGGACAAUGGACGCAAGUCUGAUCCAGCCAUUCCCGCGUGCAGGAUGAACGG
rnacentral:rRNA from 1 species